rnacentral:rRNA from 1 species
AGGACGAACGCUGGCGGCGUGCUUAACACAUGCAAGUCGAGCGGAAAGGCCCUUCGGGGUACUCGAGCGGCGAACGGGUGAGUAACACGUGAGCAACCUGCCCUUAGCUCCGGGAUAGCUCCGGGAAACCGGAAUUAAUACCGGAUAUGACCUAGGCCGACAUCGGCUGUGGUGGAAAGUUUUUCGGCUGGGGAUGGACUCGCGGCCUAUCGAGCUUGUUGGUGGGGUAAUGGCCUACCGAAGGCGACGACGGGUA